rfam:Amazona aestiva scaffold_217, whole genome shotgun sequence.
AUCCUUACCUGGCAGGGGAGACACCAUGAUCAAGCAGGUGGUUUUCCCAGGGUAAGGCUCGUCCCUUGCACUCUGGGUGUGCUGACCCCUAUGAUUUCCUCAAAUGCAGGAAACUGGACUGCAUAAUUUGUUGUAGUGGGGGCCUGUGCUUUUUUGCCUGUG